GACGAACGCUGGCGGCGUGCUUAACACAUGCAAGUCGAACGGAAAGGCCCUGCUUGCAGGGUACUCGAGUGGCGAACGGGUGAGUAACACGUGGGUGAUCUGCCCUGCACUUCGGGAUAAGCCUGGGAAACUGGGUCUAAUACCGGAUAUGACCUUCCAUGUAGUGUGGGGGGUGGAAAGAUUUAUCGGUGUGGGAUGAGCCCGCGGCCUAUCAGCUUGUUGGUGGGGUAAUGGCCUACCAAGGCGUCGACGGGUAGCCGGCCUGAGAGGGUGGACGGCCACAUUGGGACUGAGAUACGGCCCAGACUCCUACGGGAGGCAGCAGUGGGGAAUAUUGCACAAUGGGCGGAAGCCUUAUGCAGCGACGCCGCGUGGGGGAUGACGGCCUUCGGGUUGUAAACCUCUUUCGACAGGGACGAAGCUCCGGUGACGGUACCUGUAGAAGAAGCACCGGCUAACUACGUG
rnacentral:rRNA from 1 species